CUUGGCUGCACCCUGUGGAUUGAAGGCAUUGCCAGAUUAUCACACUCGAGACAAAGUGGGAGGUGGCAAUUCUGCUGGCACCCACCACAUCCACAACCUUGGAGUGUGAUGGUGUCCUCCAUAGGAACACACAAGUAAACAUCCAGAAUGCAGGAAGAUGCAGGGCAAUCGGUAAAAACAAGAGCUGAGCUGAAGGGCAGGAUCAAACUGGACAGAAAACCACGUGCUACUCUGCAGUUUAGAACUUUACUGAGGUGGUUUUUAUGAAGUUUCUCAUCCCAACCCCCCAUGUCUUUCCUUUGAAAGGCAGCCCAGAUGAUCACACGUGGCAGAGCCUGCAUGUGACAGACAUACCUGCACCUGCUUAAAGGGGGUUGGUAAUGCCUCUCUCAGGAGCUGGACUGUGCAUUGCCUGACAGAACCUGAUGCCCAGCCUAUCUGCCUUGAGGAAAUGCAUAUUUUCCAUUUAAUCUCUUAUUUAAUCUCUGCUCUUCUCAAUCCACUUUAGGAUCGAUGCCUCAAAAUGCUGGCAGAUCCACAGAGAUAGCACAAGUUCCCUCCUGUUCUCCUUGGCUGUCUCACGUUCCUGGAUGUGACCUGUGCCAUACACUUGUUCUCAUGUGUGACAAGGGAAACGACUCUGUUCUGCUGCACCUGCAAGAAAAGAACCAGCUACUUACAGUGACAGGUGUGAUUUAGCUGGAUGGUGAUAUCUCAUCUACCUGAGUCAGAAGAAUUAUAACCCUGCACAGAUACACACUGACAGAGGACAGUUCUACAUAUUUCAGAAAAUAAAAAUUAGCAAUCUCUUAAGAAGGAAGAAACCAUUAAUUUCAUCUCUGUUCAUUAGUCUAUGCCUAAGUAUCUUCUACUGCAGUAGUCAACUAAGAUUUCUCUAAGCCUGGGGAAUUGCUUGCAGAGUCACAGUAACAGUAAGUGAUGUUAGAGAAUCUGUAUCUUGCCCCUGAAUGGAGCUGUGUGGAUGCUGCACCUAUGGAGAAUUCUAUGCAUUAAUUACAGUGUCUUUAGAGUUUUCAGUUAAUUACGUACAACCUAAUUUUUUCAGAGUUUUGAACAAGCACAUUUCUCACUGACUGCCUUUUGCACUCUCAGGACUGCUAGCACAGCUCCAAGUACAGCUUAUGGUGCAUAACUGAGAGAAAUAAAGAAUCCACUGGGUUUGAGGAUGAGAAAA